rnacentral:lncRNA from 1 species
AGGGUGAUGGCACCAGUAAUCGACAUGUACCCAGUGAUCGACAUCUAACCUAGUCUUAAGGAAAAAAUAAGAGUUAUAUUUUGGUUUCCCGUCAUGGCAACACUUAAUCAUAGACAACAGGACUCCCUCUGUCGUCACAAAACAGAACUUUGGGCUCGGCCAUUUGUUUUCAAAAUGGCGAGCUAAAUAUUACUGUCACCGUUUGAGUUCCUUAGCUAAUCCGAUUUUAUUAGCGAAAUCCAUAACAAGAACACGCGCACCUAUUUCAAGAACUAUUCAUACAGAUAAAAUAGCAGCCACAAAAAAAAACGAUGGAUGAUGCAUUAGGUAUUAUAGUACCAUCACCUUUUAAAAAGUUUCUUGAAUAGAAUAGAAUUGAAAGACGAUAUAAAUAAAAAGAAAAAAAGAAUAAAGAGAGAAAAAAUACCAGCAGCAGUAACAAGCAAGGCAUGGCGCGAAUACCAUGAAAAAAAAGAAAAUGAGAAAAAAAGGAGUUGAAAGAAAACAAUGCAGAAAAGAAAAAGAAAACCAUUUCUAAAAAAAAUAAAAAGAAGAUACCCCGAAUUGAAUCAUCUUCAGAAGAGUCAAGUUUAGAGAUUGAGUUUGCUGAAAGUGAUUGCAGCUAUGCUGAAGAUAAUAUUUCGGAAGAUAACGACAGAGAAAAUAUAAUCAACAAAAUCAGUAAAUCAGUUAACAGUGAAAGAAAACCAUUAAAACGUAAAAAACCAGUGUCUCCCACCACCACUGACUCUAAUUUUGACAUAGAUGCCUCAUGCUCACUUAGCACACUUACUACUAAGAAGAAAGUAAGUAAAACUAGACAAACAAAUAAAAUUACUUCAGGAUGUUACGUAAUAGUAACGUACGAAAAUAAAUACUUUCCCGGGAA